GCCAUAGCUCAGUGGCAGAAUAAUUGCUUUGCCUGCAUAAGAUCCCAAGUUCAAUCCUUGGUAGCUCCG